rnacentral:rRNA from 1 species
AACGAACGCUGGCGGCAGGCUUAACACAUGCAAGUCGAGCGCCCCGCAAGGGGAGCGGCAGACGGGUGAGUAACGCGUGGGAAUCUACCCAUCUCUACGGAAUAACGCAUGGAAACGUGUGCUAAUACCGUAUACGUCCUUCGGGAGAAAGAUCUAUCGGAGAUGGAUGAGCCCGCGUUGGAUUAGCUAGCUGGUGGGGUAAAGGCCUACCAAGGCGACGAUCCAUAGCUGGUCUGAGAGGAUGAUCAGCCACACUGGGACUGAGACACGGCCCAAACUCGUACGGGAGGCAGCAGUGGGGAAUAUUGGACAAUGGGCGCAAGCCUGAUCCAGCCAUGCCGCGUGAGUGAUGAAGGCCCUAGGGGUGUAAAGCUCUUUCACCGGUGAAGAUAAUGACGGUAACCGGAGAAGAAGCCCCGGCUAACUUCGUGCCAGCCGCCGCGGUAACAC